GAAGAGAAGAAAAUCAGGGCUGGUGUUUACUGAAAAUGCUUAUGACAUCUAGAUUUCUGAGUCAUGGCCAGGUCCUGUCAUGGUUGGAUGCAUGUGCUGUAUAUCCAAGUUGCUAUGGCAGCAUGAGCACAGUGCUGAGACGGAACUGUCACCUCCUCAACGGUGCUUGGGGCAGGGAGCAAUGCACCAGCCUGGGUGAAGGGAGCAGGUGGAGGUGUGAGUGGACUCUGAUCUUACUCUUGAAGUACAAGGCAGGCUGAACCAGCCCAGUCAUCCUCUGCCAUCCUCUGCCUCAUAUGGUCCAUGCUCCAGCCCUAACCACUGGAAGGACCUUCUCCGGUCA